rnacentral:rRNA from 1 species
UACGAAGGGGGCUAGCGUUGCUCGGAAUUACUGGGCGUAAAGCGCACGUAGGCGGCUUCUUAAGUCGGUGGUGAAAUCCUGGAGCUCAACUCCAGAACUGCCUCGAUACUGGGAGCUCGAGUCCGGGAGAGGUGAGUGGGAACUGCGAGUGUAGAGGUGAAAUUCGUAGAUAUUCGCAAGAACACCAGUGGCGAAGGCGGCUCACUGGCCCGGUACUGACGCUGAGGUGCGGAAAGCGAGGG